rnacentral:rRNA from 1 species
UACGUAGGUGGCAAGCGUUGUCCGGAUUUACUGGGCGUAAAGAGCGCGCAGGCGGUCGUUCAAGUCGCGUGUGAAAGCCCCCGGCUCAACUGGGGAGGGUCAUUCGAUACUGAUCGACUCGAAGGCAGGAGAGGGUAGUGGAAUUCCCGGUGUAGUGGUGAAAUGCGUAGAUAUCGGGAGGAACACCAGUGGCGAAGGCGGCUUUCUGGCCUGUUCUUGACGCUGAGGCGCGAAAGCCAGGGGAGCAAAGCGGG